GACGUAGGGCGCGAGCGUUUGUCCGGAUUUAUUGGGCGUAAAGAGCUCGUAGGCGGCUUGUUGCGUCGACCGUGAAAACCCGUGGCUUAACUGCGGGCUUGCGGUCGAUACGGGCGGGCUGGAGUUCGGUAGGGGAGACUGGAAUUCCUGGUGUAGCGGUGAAAUGCGCAGAUAUCAGGAGGAACACCGGUGGCGAAGGCGGGUCUCUGGGCCGAUACUGACGCUGAGGAGCGAAAGCGUGGGGAGCGAACAGG
rnacentral:rRNA from 1 species